rnacentral:lncRNA from 1 species
GAAUAACCUGUUUCUUCAUAAUUGUUAUUAAGUUUCCUUUUUGAUCUACAACAUUCUUUAAACAUUCUCACUUUUACUCAUUACUCAUAAGCAUUGCAUAGCAUUCAUAAGAGUCAGAUAUUCGAAAGCAUUUCCGUGUUCUUUGGGAGACGACUUAGGGUUACUUUAGCCCUAUCUACUUUCUUGAAUACUACUUGGCAAUACUGAAGUUGCCUUGAAAAGUAGUAUUAAUUUGAUAGCUUCAACGACAGCUUAUCACCAUGUCCACCUCUUCCUCUGCCGUUCCCUCCUCGUCCUCGCCUAUUUCUUCCCCUACCACGCCCGUUUACCCCUCUGCCACGCCCAUUUCCUCCUCGUCCCCGCCCAUUACCCCUUCCACCCUGUUCAAUUAAUUUGGAAACAUUGGUUACUUCUCUGAUAGCAGGGUUGGUCUCCCUGUCAUCUUGUG